rnacentral:rRNA from 1 species
ACGGGGUGCAGCAGGCGCGAAAACUUUACAAUGCGGGAAACCGUGAUAAGGGGACACCGAGUGCCAGCAACAUUUGCUGGCUGUCCAGGUGUGUAAACUACACCUGUUAGCAAGGGCCGGGCAAGACCGGUGCCAGCCGCCGCGGUAACACCGGCGGCCCGAGUGGUGAUCGUUAUUAUUGGGUCUAAAGGGUCCGUAGCCGGUUUAGUCAGUCCUCCGGGAAAUCUGUCAGCUCAACUGAUAGGCUAUCGGGGGAUACUGCUAGACUUGGAACCGGGAGAGGUAAGAGGUACUACAGGGGUAGGAGUGAAAUCUUGUAAUCCCUGUGGGACCACCUGUGGCGAAGGCGUCUUACCAGAACGGGUUCGACGGUGAGGGACGAAAGCUGGGGGCACGAACCGGAUUAGAUACCCGGGUAGUCCCAGCCGUAAACGAUGCUCGCUAGGUGUCAUGCACGGUGCGACCGUGUAUGGUGCCGUAGGGAAGCCGUGAAGCGAGCCACCUGGGAAGUACGGCCGCAAGGCUGAAACUUAAAGGAAUUGGCGGGGGAGCAC